GCCUUCGUGGUGUAGUGGUCAGCACGUUUGGCGCGUACUCCAAAGGUUCGCGGUUCGAGUCCCGGCGAUUGCA
rnacentral:tRNA from 1 species